UGGGGAAUUUUCCGCAAUGGGCGAAAGCCUGACGGAGCAACGCCGCGUGGAUGAAGAAGUCCUUCGGGAUGUAAAGUCCUUUCAGCAGGGACGAGUCGAAGACGGUACCUGCAGAAGAAGCAUCGGCUAACUACGUGCCAGCAGCCGCGGUAAUACGUAGGAUGCGAGCGUUGUCCGGAAUUAUUGGGCGUAAAGCGUACGUAGGCGGUUUGUUAAGUCAGGGGUUAAAGACUGAGGCUCAACCUCAGGAGUGCCCUUGAUACUGGCAGACUGGAGGACGGCAGAGGAAAGUGGAAUUCCCAGUGUAGCGGUGAAAUGCGUAGAUAUUGGGAGGAACACCAGUGGCGAAAGCGACUUUCUGGGCCGUUCCUGACGCUGAGGUACGAAAGCGUGGGGAGCAAACAGG
rnacentral:rRNA from 1 species